rnacentral:rRNA from 1 species
AACGAACGCUGGCGGCAGGCUUAACACAUGCAAGUCGAACGCGUGUAGCAAUACACGAGUGGCGCACGGGUGAGUAACGCGUGGAUAUCUGCCUUUUGGUUCGGAAUAACUCCGGGAAACUGGAGCUAAUACCGGAUGGUUCCUUCGGGAUAAAGAUUUAUCGCCAAAAGAUGAGUCCGCGUACGAUUAGCUAGUUGGUGAGGUAAUGGCUCACCAAGGCGACGAUCGUUAGCUGGUCUGAGAGGACGAUCAGCCACACUGGGACUGAGACACGGCCCAGACUCCUACGGGAGGCAGCAGUGGGGAAUAUUGGACAAUGGGGGCAACCCUGAUCCAGCCAUGCCGCGUGAGCGAUGAAGGCCUUCGGGUUGUAAAGCUCUUUUGGCGGGGACGAUGAUGACGGUACCCGCGGAAUAAGCCCCGGCUAACUUCGUGCCAGCAGCCGCAGUAA